rnacentral:rRNA from 1 species
AGGAUUCAAGCGUUAUCCGGAUUUAUUGGGUUUAAAGGGUGCGUAGGCGGUCGGAUAAGUUAGAGGUGAAAUCCCGGGGCUCAACUUCGGAAUUGCCUCUGAUACUGUUCGGCUAGAGAGUAGUUGCGGUAGGCGGAAUGUAUGGUGUAGCGGUGAAAUGCUUAGAGAUCAUACAGAACACCGAUUGCGAAGGCAGCUUACCAAGCUACUUCUGACGUUGAGGCACGAAAGCGUGGGGAGCAAACAGGAUUAGAUACCCUGGUAGUCCACGCAGUAAACGAUGAUAACUCGUUGUCGGCGAUACAGUGUCGGUGACUAAGCGAAAGCGAUAAGUUAUCCACCUGGGGAGUACGUUCGCAAGAAUG